rnacentral:rRNA from 1 species
UGCUCUUUGUUUAAAUAUUAUAGAGAGUCGAGCCUGCCCAGUGAAUUUUUUAACGGCCGCGGUACUCUGACCGUGCAAAGGUAGCAUAAUCAUUUGCCUUAUAAUUGAAGGCUAGCAUGAAUGGUUUGACGAAAGCGGAUCUGUCUCCCUUUUAUUCUUUAGAAUUUGACCUUUAGGUGAAGAGGCCUAAAUAAAAUUGAAGGACAAGAAGACCCUGUCGAGCUUAAAAGAACUCAUAGGAGUUAAUAUUAUUUUAAAUAAAUGAUCUAUUAAGCUUUUUAGUUGGGGCGACUGAGGAACAAAAAAAGCUUCUUAAACAUAAAAAACAGACGGGUUUAGAUCCAGUGAUGACCUGAUUAAAGAAAUUAGUUACCGCAGGGAUAACAGCAUAAUCUCUCUUGAGAGACCUUAUCGAAAGAGGGGGUUGUGACCUCGAUGUUGGACUAGAAUAUCCUAAAGAUGCAGAAGUCUUUGAAGGUUGGUCUGUUCGACCAUUAAAAUUCU